rnacentral:rRNA from 1 species
UGGGGAAUAUUGCACAAUGGGCGCAAGCCUGAUGCAGCCAUGCCGCGUGUGUGAAGAAGGCCUUCGGGUUGUAAAGCACUUUCAGCGAGGAGGAAGGUGGUGAGCUUAAUACGCUCAUCAAUUGACGUUACUCGCAGAAGAAGCACCGGCUAACUCCGUGCCAGCAGCCGCGGUAAUACGGAGGGUGCAAGCGUUAAUCGGAAUUACUGGGCGUAAAGCGCACGCAGGCGGUUUGUUAAGUCAGAUGUGAAAUCCCCGGGCUCAACCUGGGAACUGCAUUUGAAACUGGCAAGCUAGAGUCUCGUAGAGGGGGGUAGAAUUCCAGGUGUAGCGGUGAAAUGCGUAGAGAUCUGGAGGAAUACCGGUGGCGAAGGCGGCCCCCCUGGACGAAGACUGACGCUCAGGUGCGAAAAGCGUGGGGCAGCAAACAGGAUUAGAUACCCUGGUAGUCCACGCUGUAAACGAUGUCGAUUUGGAGGUUGUGCCCUUGAGGCGUGGCUUCCGGAGCUAACGCGUUAAAUCGACCGCCUGGGGAGUACGGCCGCAAGGUUAAAACUCAAAGGAAUUG